CAGCCGCCGUGGGAAUACAGAGGGUUCGAGCGUUAAUCGGAUUUACUGGGCGUAAAGCGUGCGUAGGCGGCUUUUUAAGUCGGAUGUGAAAUCCCUGAGCUUAACUUAGGAAUUGCAUUCGAUACUGGGAAGCUAGAGUAUGGGAGAGGAUGGUAGAAUUCCAGGUGUAGCGGUGAAAUGCGUAGAGAUCUGGAGGAAUACCGAUGGCGAAGGCAGCCAUCUGGCCUAAUACUGACGCUGAGGUACGAAAGCAUGGGGAGCAAACAGGAUUAGAUACCCCUGUAGUCCCUGUCUCUUAUAC
rnacentral:rRNA from 1 species